AAACCAUUUAGGGGUUAAGCCCGAUGAACCCGAAUAUCUGAAAUGAGAAAUUCAAUAUUAUUAUGUUAUAGCAUAUUAUGUAUAUAAUAUAAAUAGUGUGCACUUUUCUCAUUAGUAAGACAUUGCAAUCCAUUAGUUUAUACAAUUGUAUAUUAUUUAUCAUAAGGCCAAUUUGUAUUGUUCAUUAUUUUAUAUAUAUUUAUUAUGUAUGGAUAAUAAUGAAUUCAAUUUGUGACCAGAUAAAUAGCUGAUGGUGUUUAAAAAUCAUAUUCACAUUAUUUAUGUGUAACACAUUUAUAUGUAUUUUAUAUGUAUAUUGUAGUGUUAAUAUGUAUUUGAUUGGCAAUGCGUUUGAUUUGGGAUACCUUCGGGACCCGUCUUGAAACACGGACCAAGGAGUCUAACAUGUGCGCAAGUCAUUAGGAUAUUUAAAACCUAAGGGCAUAAUUAACGUAACUGUAUUUUAUAUAUAUGGGAUUACAAAUAAUUGAUAUAAAAAAUUAUUUUUUCAUCUCAGGGCGUUUUAUAUUGAACAUGUUUGGCAUUUUUAAUGUUUGACCUCUGUUCAAAAGCGUACCUUGAGCGUACAUGCUGU
rnacentral:rRNA from 1 species